rnacentral:rRNA from 1 species
CAGCAGUGGGGAAUAUUGCACAAUGGGGGAAACCCUGAUGCAGCCAUGCCGCGUGUGUGAAGAAGGCCUUCGGGGUUGUAAAGCACUUUCAGUAGGGAGGAAGGUAGUGUAGUUAACACCUGCAUUAUUUGACGUUACCUACAGAAGAAGCACCGGCUAACUCCGUGCCAGCAGCCGCGGUAAUACGGAGGGUGCGAGCGUUAAUCGGAAUUACUGGGCGUAAAGCGCAUGCAGGCGGCCUGUUAAGUCAGAUGUGAAAGCCCGGGGCUUAACCUCGGAAUUGCAUUUGAAACUGGCAGGCUAGAGUCUUGUAGAGGGGGGUAGGAAUUUCAGGUGUAGCGGUGAAAUGCGUAGAGAUCUGAAGGAAUACCAGUGGCGAAGGCGGCCCCCUCGGACAAAGACUGACGCUCAGAUGCGAAAGCGUGGGGAGCAAACAGGAUUAGAUACCCUGGUAG